GAUGAGCAUGCGUCCCAUUAGCUAGUUGGUAAGGUAACGGCUUACCAAGGCUACGAUGGGUAGGGGUCCUGAGAGGGAGAUCCCCCACACUGGUACUGAGACACGGACCAGACUCCUACGGGAGGCAGCAGUGAGGAAUAUUGGACAAUGGGCGCAAGCCUGAUCCAGCCAUGCCGCGUGCAGGAUGACGGUCCUAUGGAUUGUAAACUGCUUUUAUACGAGAAGAAACACUCCGACGUGUCGGAGCUUGACGGUAUCGUAAGAAUAAGGAUCGGCUAACUCCGUGCCAGCAGCCGCGGUAAUACGGAGGAUCCAAGCGUUAUCCGGAAUCAUUGGGUUUAAAGGGUCCGUAGGCGGUUUAAUAAGUCAGUGGUGAAAGCCCAUCGC
rnacentral:rRNA from 1 species